rnacentral:lncRNA from 1 species
CUCUCUCAUGUAGAGAGGUCAUCUGGUUUUCUUUUGAGGGUUUAUCUUUUUUCUUUAAGAGUUAUUUCCUGAAGGUCUUCCUCUGCCUCUUCUAGGUGGACGGAGACCUUUCUUCAUCCGAUAGUAGAUUGUAUCCUCUCUUCAUUUAGUGGAAUUAUACAUAUUUUUUGUUCUUUCCUGCUUUUGUAGAGGACUUGCCUUUGCUUUUUUUCUUCUUUGGUUGUUGCGAUUUCUUUUGGAUUUGCAAGUGAAGGAUCGCUUGGUCUCCGGUCCAACCCUUUCCCUCAAUCCAGUGAAAGGUGGUCAGCUAGUAGCUAAAGGAGUAUCCUCAGAGAGCGCACUAUCAGCAUCUCAGCUUGCCGUUUGAGAUGAGUUCGGUUCCUUCCACUGACUCUGAAGGAGAUAGUUGAGGUGAGGUUGAGAAAGUUUCUCUUCUCUUAUAUUUGAUGGGCCUUAAUCCUUGAUUUUUUAUUAUAUGGGCUUUUUUUUUUUAUAUCCAAACCUUGUGCCUUGAAUGCUAAUGAAAUCUAUUAUCUUUAAUUAAAAAAUAUUUAAUUUUAUAAUUUAUUACUUCUGGUUUCUUCUUAAUGUUAUUAGGUGAUUCCAGCAUACUAUCUUCUUCCAUUUUAGCAGGAUUGGGAACCGUCUUGAGUCUUUGCUUUAUGAAUUUGAACAAAUUAUGCUACUAUACAUAUAUCAUAUAUAUUUUAUUUGUGUGGUGUUAUUUGUUCUCAUUAUCGUAUAAUUUUUAUUUAAUUGUUCUAAAAUUAUUAUUUACUUUUAAUAUAUAAUAUAUAAAUUAAUUAUUAUAAUUUUAUUUAAUUUUAUAUUAUUUUUAAAAAACCUUUUAAAAUAUUUUUUAAUAUUUAAUAUUUUUAAAAUAGAUAUAAUAAAAAAAUUAAUAAAAAAUUAUUUUUUAAUAUAUAUGAAAAAAUAAAAUAGAUAAAAUUAUGGAAUAGAAAGAAUAUGUACAGUAAUAUAUAUGAAAUACUCCUUAGUUUUUUAAGCAAUCUUUUAUUUCUCAUAAUUAUUGUCAUUUUAAUUUUUCUCUUUCUACUAAUUUACCACUGUAAAAGUAAGAUAUUUAAGAGUGAGAAAAAGGAAAAUUAUAAUAUAGGUUUUUGGAAUUAGAGAAUUAAUUAUUGUGUUUAAUAGUAGAAUAAAAAUAAUUAUUAAUCCGCACUCACUGACUUAGAUGAGAUAGUAAAUGCAUCCGAAUAAAUUUAAAAAAUUUUAUAUUUCUAUAUUUUUUUAUUUUUAAUUUUCAUUUCUGAUGACCGCUGGGUUUCUUCACCCCAGUUUAGGGACAGGCCCACUAAGGCAACUCAUAGUCUGAAGGCUACUAAGUCUCCUCCAAGAACCAGGUCCAAUUCGUUCGAUUUAAAGAUCGGGCUCCAGUCCGUUUCCUCAAACAGGCCGGUCUAGCUCUUUCGGCCCAAUGGACAGAUCCCCUCCGGGCCUAGUCUUGACCUCCUCCUUCGGUCUAGCUCAGAACCCGAAGGGAGUUCAACCCCUUCGCCUUGUGGGACCAUCCGCAUGCGCGUUCGGAGAGAAUCAAGGGCCGUUGUGCAUGGGAUAGAGAUUUGAUUCCCUCGUACGUCCAUAUCAACGUAACAGGGACAUGUGGUUCAAUUAUAUUCAUUCUGUUAAUACGUCACUAGCAGACAAAAGGAAACAUAUAAAAGGAGAAAUAUCCUCCUCUAGGUCUAAGUUUUUUCAGUUGUACAGAACCCGUUGUAAAACCCCAUUUUUUUGGAUCUCAGAUCAUAAAUUUCAAAAAAAAAUUAUUACUCCUUAAUUUUCUCUUUACCAUAAAUAAAAGUUAAUAGAGAGAAUAUAUAUAAUUAAUUUCUUAUUGUAUGAAUAUUUAAUUUUAUUGCAUAAUAAUAAUAUUAACGUUUGUGUUUGUCCAUUUUGAGAAUAAUGGCCAAGCUCAUAAAAAUCCUAAACCAAGUGGACCCUAAUGACCCAUGAAGAAGAUCCGGUUUUAGAGGAGGAUGUUGCCGCCUACUUGUAAGUUUGGUUGUCCCGAUACUUGUAAGUUAUAAAUAUGCAGCAGGAAAAACAAAAAAUAGAAGAACAUAUAACCCAAAGACAUAAAUGAAAAAAUAAAAUUGUCAAAAGGAAACCCUUUCCAUGAUAAAAUAUGAUGGCAAAAAACAACAAAACUGUCGGUACCUAAUGCAAUGGUAGAAAGAGAGAAAUCUACAGUGAAGCUAGGAGGAAAAGGGCCCCAGUCUGAUGCUUGUUAUACGACAUGCGCCGUCAGAUAGAGUGUUUUACUGCCACAUAAGUGAUCAAAUUUCUUGAGCUCCUAUUUUAUAAAUAAAUUUAGUUACAAUUUAAAUUUCUAAAUAUUUUUUUUAAAAUUCUAAAAAAUAAAAACUCCAAGGGAAGUUAGUCUUUCCCUUUUACCUUAUUUUCUAAUUAGAAUUUAGAUUUAAGUGUUGAAGAAAUUAAAGGAUUUAAAUUGAUUAAAAUUUUAGAUUUAUUGGCUAAGACAAAGUAUUAGCACCUAUAUAUAUAACAUUUCAAGUACAUGCAUAAUUCCAAAUUAUUUUCUCAUACAAAUAUAAGCUAGACGUGCUUAUUCAUUUUAAAUUAUAUUAAUAUCAUGCAAUCAUCUAAAUUAUAUAUUUAGAAUCAAUAUCAUGAUUUCUAUUAGUCAAUGUUUAGUUUUAUACAUUUGUUACAGUGGAAGAGAGAAGAGAAGGCUGCACAGAAGAGAAAGAGAAGGAGGAUAAAAAAUUUUGAAGGGGGAAAGAGAAGAAGAAGAGCGAGAAGCCAAAGUCUCAUCUGUCUAGGACUGUCCAUGUAGAGCCGCAUGGCUGUGCAUGCACAUAAAAGGGUUCGGCACUAUCAGUGCCGAACUAUUUUCGCGGUCAAUGCUUCAUCAGGAAUCUCUGACGAAGCAUUGAAUUCUGCAUGUUCGGCAUCAUUGUUGCCGAACAUGUCACGCUGCAGCCACACGAGCAGAUUGCUCACGUGGCACGGUUCCACUUGUUCGGCACUAUGGGUGCUGAACAACCUGCCAAACGAAUGUUCGCCACCAUGAGUGGCGAAUAUCAUGAAGUUCGCCACCAUGAGUGGCGAAUAUCAUGAAGUUCGCCAUCAUUGGUGGCGAACUUCUGGGUUCGGCAGUAUAACUGCUGAACCCAGUGGGUUGACACACAGAAUCCGAAAAUAUUUUUGAAUCCUGUAUAAUUUUAAAAAUAAAUUUCAUUUUUUACAUGAUUUGAAAAAUUGCUCUCCCCUCUAGGCUGCACCUCAUCUUGCACUCUCUCGCCAUUACCGGCAAACCCAAUUAAGCAAUCCACACAUAAAUAUAAUAAUUAAUAGUCGUUGCUUAUCUUUCUCUUCUAAAAAUUUAAUAUGAUAUCUUACCAAGAAUAGGAAUGGAGUGAAUCCUGGUUGUUUUCUUGAAGCAUGCGGGGGCCAAGACUACUGCUGGCAAUUUGGUGGUUGUAGUGCUGUUUAUUUUCCUGAUGAGUGAAGAAUUUUGAUAGAGUUGCUAUAUACAUGGAACAAAAUUAAUGCUAAUGCUCUUGGCUAGCAGCAAAUGCUUUCGUUUAUGAGAGAAUUCAUAAUUUAAUCUCUUAAUUAGCAGGAUAUUAUAGUGUUAACAUGUGGGAUAAGCAAAAGUGCAUAUGUGCAGCUGCCCCAUUUGACCGCUACAGUGCGAUUUUCCCUUGUGGUUCCCGGCGGGCACCUGUCUCACAGCUCAUCGCAAAACUGCCGUCGAUCACCGACACCUGUAAUGAUGACAUUAUCAUGACAUAUAUCUUUAGCUUUAUAGCAGUGAUGCUCCACUAUAAAUUCCCAGCACCUGAAGGCAGACAAACUCACAAUCAAAACACAUAGAGGAGAAAAAA